rnacentral:rRNA from 1 species
UACGUAGGGGGCAAGCGUUGUCCGGAAUCAUUGGGCGUAAAGAGCGUGUAGGCGGCCCGAUAAGUCCGCUGUGAAAGUCGAGGGCUCAACCCUCGAAUGCCGGCGGAUACUGUCGGGCUAGAGUCCGGAAGAGGCGAGUGGAAUUCCUGGUGUAGCGGUGAAAUGCGCAGAUAUCAGGAGGAACACCGGUGGCGAAGGCGGGUCUCUGGGCCGAUACUGACGCUGAGGAGCGAAAGCGUGGGGAGCGAACAGG